GUUAACUCGUUGAGGUUAGUAUCUAGUCGGGAUAAACUACGGCAUCGGAACUAAAAGAGAGUUGACCUUAUACCAAGUAGCUCUUAGAAUAAUCGGUAGAGGCCGGUAGCGAAAGUAUAAUGAUUCUCCCAAGAUGUGGGCAAGCCUAGCUAGGGAGGUAUCGAAAACUGUUUGUUGAAGUAGCGUAAUUCUCCCUGUGUAAGCUCCCUUACUAAAAGUAAUACAUAAAGAGUUAUGAAAGUUGGGCAGUAUAAAAAUAAUGACCUGUUGCAAAUAACGGAUUAUCCUCGAAAUCGAGCCGUAUGGUCAGACAGACAACUUUAGGGGUAUAUAGAUAGUGCAAUGAGAUAUAACCUAGCAACUUAUAAAAGUUGC
rnacentral:ncRNA from 1 species